rnacentral:rRNA from 1 species
UACCAUGCAAGUCGAACGGUGAAGUCCCUUCGGGGAUGGAUCAGUGGCGAACGGGUGAGUAACACGUGGGCAAUCUGCCCCUCACUGUGGGAUAACUCCGGGAAACCGGGGCUAAUACCGCAUAUGAAGCCUGGCGGCAUCGCCGGGUUUGGAAAGUUUUUCGGUGAGGGAUGAGCCCGCGGCCUAUCAGCUUGUUGGUGAGGUAAUGGCUCACCAAGGCGACGACGGGUAGCCGGCCUGAGAGGGCGACCGGCCACACUGGGACUGAGACACGGCCCAGACUCCUACGGGAGGCAGCAGUGGGGAAUAUUGGGCAAUGGGCGAAAGCCUGACCCAGCGACGCCGCGUGCGGGAUGAAGGCCUUCGGGUUGUAAACCGCUUUCAGCAGGGAAGAAGCGAAAGUGACGGUACCUGCAGAAGAAGCACCGGCUAACUACGUGCCAGCAGCCGCGGUAAU